CUACGGGAGGCUCCAGUGAGGAAUUUUGCGCAAUGGGGGGAACCCUGACGCAGCAACGCCGCGUGAGUGAAGAAGGCCUUUGGGUCGUAAAGCUCUGUCGAUAGGGAAGAAGUUAUUAUGAUUUAAUAGAUGAUAGUAUUGACGGUACCUAUAGAGGAAGCACCGGCUAACUCCGUGCCAGCAGCCGCGGUAAUACGGGGGGUGCAAGCGUUAUUCGGAAUUAUUGGGCGUAAAGGGCGCGUAGGCGGUCUUGUCGGUCAGAUGUGAAAGCCCGGGGCUCAACCCUGGACGUGCAUUUGAAACAGCAAGACUUGAGUACGGGAGAGGAAAGCGGAAUUCCUGGUGUAGAGGUGAAAUUCGUAGAUAUCAGGAGGAACACCGAUGGCGAAGGCAGCUUUCUGGACCGAUACUGACGCUGAGGCGCGAAGGCGUGGGUAGCGAACGGGAUUAGAUACCCGGGUAGUC
rnacentral:rRNA from 1 species